ACGCUCGACACCUACGGGAGGCANCAGUGGGGGAAUAUUGCGCAAUGGGGGGACCAACCCUGACGGCCAAGGCCAACGGCCCGCGGUGGAGUUAGGAAAGAAGGUCCUUGGGUUGUAAAGAUCUUUAUUCGAAGGACGGAAAAUAGGACGGUAACCUAGGAAGAAUAAGGACUACCGGCUACGUACCGUAGUACAGCAGACGCGGUAGUCGUAGNGNGGGCGAGGCGAGGCAG
rnacentral:rRNA from 1 species